rnacentral:rRNA from 1 species
CAGCCGCGGUAAUACGUAGGGCGCGAGCGUUGUCCGGAUUUAUUGGGCGUAAAGAGCUCGUAGGCGGCUUGUUGCGUCGACCGUGAAAACCCGGGGCUCAACUUCGGGCUUGCGGUCGAUACGGGCGGGCUAGAGUUCGGUAGGGGAGACUGGAAUUCCUGGUGUAGCGGUGAAAUGCGCAGAUAUCAGGAGGAACACCGGUGGCGAAGGCGGGUCUCUGGGCCGAUACUGACGCUGAGGAGCGAAAGCGUGGGGAGCGAACAGGAUUAGAUACCCUGGUAGUCCACGCUGUAAACGUUGGGCGCUAGGUGUGGGGGGCCUCUCCGGUUCCCUGUGCCGCAGCUAACGCAUUAA